rnacentral:tRNA from 1 species
UCCCUGGUGGUCCAGUGGCUAAGACUCUGUGCUUUCAAUGCAGAGGCCAUGGGUUCCAUCCCUGGUUGGGGAA